rnacentral:rRNA from 1 species
ACCAUGCAAGUCGUACGCUGAAGCCUAGCUUCGGUGGGUGGAUGAGUGGCGAACGGGUGAGUAACACGUGGGUAAUCUGCCUUGUACUCUGGGAUAAGCCCGGGAAACUGGGUCUAAUACCGGAUAGGACCAUUCCUCGCAUGGGGGGUGGUGGAAAGCUCCGGCGGUAUGAGUUGAGCCCGCGGCCUAUCAGCUUGUUGGUGGGGUGAUGGCCUACCAAGGCGGUGACGGGUAGCCGGCCUGAGAGGGUGACCGGCCACACUGGGACUGAGACACGGCCCAGACUCCUACGGGAGGCAGCAGUGGGGAAUAUUGCACAAUGGGCGCAAGCCUGAUGCAGCGACGCCGCGUGAGGGAUGACGGCCUUCGGGUUGUAAACCUCUUUCGCCAGGGACGAAGGGUGAUACUGACGGUACCUGGAGAAGAAGCACCGGCUAACUACGUGCCAGCAGCCGCGGUAAUACGUAGGGUGCAAGCGUUGUCCGGAAUUAUUGGGCGUAAAGAGCUCGUAGGCGGUGUGUCGCGUCUGCCGUGGAAACCUACAGCUUAACUGUGGGCGUGCGGUGGAUACGGGCAUCACUUGAGUUCGGCAGGGGAGACUGGAAUUCCUGGUGUAGCGGUGGAAUGCGCAGAUAUCAGGAGGAACACCGGUGGCGAAGGCGGGUCUCUGGGCCGAUACUGACGCUGAGGAGCGAAAGCGUGGGGAGCGAACAGGAUUAGAUACCCUGGUAGUCCACGCUGUAAACGUUGGGCGCUAGGU